rnacentral:lncRNA from 1 species
GUCACAGAGGGUAGAUUGGAAACCAUCUCUCUCCUCCUGGAGGUCAACAUGUCUGUGUUCCCCCUUCUUUCUGGAAACAGUUCUUCCUAGGGUGUCGCCCCAGUUUACAGGGGAACUAAGAUCAGAUAUCCAGUCUGCUGUGGCCACAGAGUCAGUUGGGGCAGAGGUGAGGUUGGCACUGCAUUCUUCUGACUCCAGGCUACAGUUCUUCCCCAUGUGCCCACCCCCUAACUUCUGGCUACAGUGGGCUAUGGAAUUGGACCUGAGUUCCCCCCUGUUCACUAACUGCCAGCCUUCUCUUUCUCCAGCCUUACACCCCUUCUCUAAGAUGAGAGACAGGCUGACACCUCUGAGCAGUGGUUCUUUUGUUGCUGACAUGCUGGGAGGCGAGGUCUGGGGCUAGGGAAGCUUGGAGAACAAGGUAGACUAGACUCUUGCUUCUGAAGUCGCAGCCCAGUGCAGCACUAAAAUCCUUAAGUGAAUAACUGCACACUUAGCAUGUGCACCCAGCCCUGGCAGGGGAGAGAAGCUUCUGGAAGAAGUCACACCUGAACAGAAAUGUAGACAAGGACCAGUGCUACUGUCAGUGCAGGUGGUAAUAGGUGGGCACAGGGUACAGGAAGGUGCCAUGGACUGUUGUGCCAUUGUGUGGGCCUAGGAUCCCCUCUUCCCUGCCCUGCGGCUGUCCAGGCUCACUGGCAUCCUGAGGCUGCUGACCCAGCCCAUGGGACAUGGGAAACCGUCUCUGCCUUUGGCCCUGCAGGAGAACGUCAGCUGCCUCAACACCAGCCUGGUGAUCCUGAUGCUAGCCCGUCGGAAAGAGCGGUUGCCCCUGUACCUGCGGCUGCUACAGCGGAUGGAGCACAGCAAGAAGUACCCUGGCUUCCUGCUCAACAACUUCCACAACCUGCUGCGCUUUUGGCAGCAGCAUUACCUGCACAAGGACAAGGACAGCACCUGCCUGGAGAAUGUGAGUGCCCCAGCCCCGAGUGACAGUGGGAGGAGAGUAGCAUGUGAACCCAAGCCCUCCACACUUCCCAACCCUUCUCGCUCUUUACUCAGAGCUCCUGCAUCAGCUUCUCAUACUGGAAGGAGACCGUGUCCAUCUUGUUGAACCCAGACCGCCAGUCGCCCUCCGCCCUGGUCAGCUACAUUGAAGAGCCCUACAUGGACAUAGACAGAGACUUCACUGAGGAGUGACCUUGAGCCAGGCUUCGAGAAGCUGCUGGGCCGGGGCGAGUGCAGUGAGCAAGGGUGCACACGCCACGCACUCUGCCCACCCCUGUCCCUCUCUUGCCUCCCCAGUGCUCUGUCUACCCCGGGUGCUCAGGUGCAGGCUCGGUGGAAGGAACAUCCUACAAGUUCUUGUCUCCUGGGUCUGAGGGCCCAGGCCAUUGGGGAGCCUGUGUCUUCACUGUCCCCAGGGUAAGGACAAUGGCACCAUGCCCACCUUUCCCUCACACUCCUGGAGCCCUGGCCUGCCAGAGAAAGGGAACAUGGAAACCAUCUCUGCCUGAGCUCCUCCCAUCAGUCCCACGAUGGAAGGAAGAUGCAGACCCCUGUGAGCCAAGCCUCCCUGGCCUCAGGGCACAGGCAGAGCUCCUGAGCCCUGGGCAGGGUUGGGCAUCAGAGAAUGCUGCCUUCCCCAGGUCUACCCAUCUCUCCUCCCGACCUCCCUUGUCUUCCUUUAGCUCCUCUGGUUCUUUGCUCAUUGGCCACUGUGUUCAUCCUGGAGGUUCCCCGGAAGUGGGGGGCCUUUUCUCUCCAUCCCUUUGGGGCAUGGAGUGCCUGUGCCUGCCUGAGCCCAGACACGGGAGCCUGGCUGAGAGCUUACCCUUGGCUCCUCCUGUGUUGCCAGUUUAUUAACAGCAAAUAAACCAAUUAAAUGGAGACUAUUAAAGAACUUUAUUUUAA